rnacentral:misc_RNA from 1 species
CGAAGACCCGGCAGGACCCCUACUGGUUGACCUGACCUGACCUGACCCGGCCCAGUUAAAAUGCAUGAGGACAUCAUCUGUGAUCAAAAUUAACAUGAUAUUCGUGAUCAACACCCCGAAAGCCCCCAUAUCAGCCACACUGCCACACUACGACGUUCUAACAGGUCCCGAUUUUCCCGACUUCUGGGUCUUUGACCUGACCUGGAAGGUCAACCAAUGAACUAGGACCUUAAUAUUGGGUGUCAUCGGUUUCCUCUCGUCACGGGCAACACGCUCGUUUUUUUUUCUGCGAAACUCUAGCUCAAUCAUAGGCGAAACGGCAAGGGGGGGGCAACGGGCCCCCGCCCCCUUACCUAUACGUUCGCGGCUGGAAAAACACCAAUACGGGCGAGGGUUAAUGUUACUACAAUACGGCGAGGGUUACGGGCGAUGCGCUGAUGUGGGUCCCUUGGAGAUGGCGUGAGGGGCCUCGCAGGUGCCGAUGUGGUGGCUUUUAGAAACACUGGUGUGGGCCGUGGGGCUAUCACAGACGGGUGUGGAGCCAUUGCAGCUGAUCCCUCAUUGGCCGUUACUAGGGCCCUCAGAAGCCGGCAAGGUCUCUCAGAAACCGGCGCAUUGGUCCUUUAUGGAGAUAAGUGUGGCUACAUAGGAGCCCAUCUGACUCAUUGAGUGGUCUCCAGGCCUUGACACAAUUCUAUUCGACCGACCUCCUCGUACAGGAGAUUCUUCUCCGUCUGACAGCCCUCGACCGAGAGGGAACAUCAAUCACUUUUUGCUGGAUCCCUAGUCAUGUUGGUGUUGCUGGCAAUGAGCGGGCGGACGGAUGUAAAAGUUUCAAUGAUACAAGCGGCAAUAUUUAGUGUAUGCACCUCUCACACCUUGACUGCCAAUAACACUUGUUUUCAGGUUGGCGUCAGUCUCCACUAUCCAAUCACAGAUGGAUACCAAACGAGGGCGCAUAGCUGGAUCAUAUGGGAAGAGGAUGCUGCUUGCUGCUCUCCACUCCCGUGGCAGACAUAAAGGCGCGCAGCGUCACUCACGUAAAAAUGGACGAGAGGACUUCGACGAGCCAGGCUCUGAAAAUGAGGGCGGUCCGGCUGAUGAUCGCCAAGAGGACGAUGAAGGAGGCCAUGAACAGCGGAAGAAGGACCGCAAAAAAAAGCGAUAUGUAAAGUGGUCUGUGCCCGAAGUGCAGAGACUGCGGGCGAUACUGAAAGCCCGCGGUGGGCGGGUACCCAGUAUGGAUGACCUCAGAGACCUGUACAAGAGGGAGCCGUUCAACGGCCAUAAUCUGAAUGACAUAAGAUGCAAGAUGUACAAACUUAAACAGAAGGCAUUCGGUGGUCCCUGCCCUCAGGAGUGAGCUGCUGGAGCGGCCGGGCCGGGCUGUUCUGGGUUGGGUCCGGACGGGACUUGGGGACCGGCGCCGCCCGCGGCGUCAAAUACAUGUGUCUGCCCGCGCCCCGAUGCCGCCCGCGGCGACAAUACAUGUGUCUGCCCGCGCCCCGAUGCCGCCCGCGGCGACAAUACAUGUGCCUGCCCGCGCCCCGAUGCCGCCCGCGACGUCAGCAGUGCUCUCUGUGGCAGCCAGUGAACAGCCGCCACAUGGCCUAUGUCAGGAUCGCUCGAGGCGCUGCAGUAGGUCCUGCUGGCCGUGUCCGGUGUUUGGUUGUCAAGCUCUGAAGCACCGUUUUUGUUGAGUUUGGUUAUCAAGCUCAGAAGUCAGAGGCACCGUUUUUGCUGCGUGAUACCGAUGGCACGGACGCAUGUACCAUGUUCGGUUGUGUCUCGUGUGCCUGGUGUAAGUCUAGUGAUUGUGUUGAUCCGAUCGAGUCUGUGCUAGGGUCCAGUGGCAGCGCCCGAUGCCGUCGGUCCAUGUGUGGUCGGCAAAGGGUGGCCAGCGGCCUAGCGUACGUCGGAGUCGUGAGCGUCAAGAUGGCGUGUGAAGUGUGUAUGGGUUGUUGUGUAUCUCGAUAACGUGUUUCCUCAUAAUGGUUUCGAUGCUGUAAGUUCUCGUAAGUCCGUUGUCAUCAGUUGUUCUCUGGUGUCCGUCCUUCCCUGUUCGGCACUGGCAGCGGUGCCCGGUGAUAGGGCUGAAUCGGGCCGGGGGCUGGGCUGUGCUGGGUUGGGUCCGGAUGGGACUCGCGGCCCGGAGCCGCCCGCGGCGUCAGUAAGUACAUACAUUGAGUUUUACAUUGAGACAGAAGCACCGUUUUUGUUGAGUGACACCGAUGGCACGGACUUGAGUACCAUGAUCCGUUGUGUGUUGUGUGCCUGGUGUAAGAUUGUGUUGAUCCGAUCGAGUCUGUGCUAGGGUCCAGUGGCAGCGCCCGAUGCCGUCGGUCCAUGUGUGGUCGGCAAAGGGUGGCCAGUCCGGCAGCUGCAUUUUUGUGUCCUUAUUGAAAUACACUGUCAGUCGUCAGAAAA